UGAUGCGGCAGACGUGUGCCGCUACGGUAGCCUUGGCGGUAAAGGCAAACACUGUUUCAGAUAAUCACAACUGAUAAACACACGGUGAAGAACAUGACCUAAUACCGUGCGUGCCACAUAUAUCCCCCGUCAGUACGUAUGUGUGAAGAUAAGUUUUGCAGCUGAUGUGUGUUUGAAGGUCGAUUUUGCAGAUUAUGAACACGUGUGUUGUUGUUGGAUAACGUGUUGGCUGCAGGGAGAUUUUAGGAGUUACAAGCCAACCUUAGGAAAAGAAUAACACAAGCUUGAAUCAUAAUGUUGUUAAAGCUCAGAAGAUUUUUCAAGAAACAUCCUCUGAUGAAGGACAUGAUUUCUUUUGGUGGGAUGUAUGUUGGGGCAGAAUGGACACAACAGACCAUGUUGAAAAGGAUGAGCAAUGUUGAUCAAGAUCCCAAAUAUGACAAGCAGGCUUUUGCACAUUACAGCUUCUAUGGAUUUCUUUGGUACCCAGUUGUUUAUCAUUAUUGGUACAGAUGGUUGGAUGCCAGGUUUGUGGGAACCAGUGCUGCUGUGAUUGGAAAGAAGCUGCUGUUGGACCAGUUUGUAAUGGAGCCUCCACUGUUAGCUUCAUUUUAUGUGGGUAUGAGUGUAAUGGAAGGACAGGAGGACAUAUUCAAAGAGUGCAAACAAAAAUAUAUCACAACAUUUCUAAGUGGCUGUGUGUUCUGGCUGCCUGCAAUGAGCAUCAAUUUCUGGUUGCUACCUAACUCUAUGCGGUAAAGAAAAGAAGCAAACAUAUAUGAGAACUCAUUAUGGAUUUGACAAUCCAUAAUGAGGAUAAAAUGCUGUGUGUUCUGGAAAUCAUUACAAAAGAUGCAGUUCUUCCUCUGUUGAAGUAUUUGUCCAUACCAAGUCUUCUUUACAACAGACACACAUGAAGGGAUCAUCCUUCUAGCAUAGUUCCUUUGCCUUAGGACAGGAUUCUUCAAAGUUUGGCUCAGAACUGUGUAUGGAGUCACAAGCUCUUUUUCAUUGGAUUGCCAAAUCAUUGACAGGCAUAUAAACAAGUGAAAUGUAACAAUCUGUGUGUGUGUGUGUGUGUGUGUGUAAGCAUGCAUGUGCACAUGAAUUGAUUUUCAUAUCAAAGCAAGAAAGAUCAUACCAGUCUAGCAGUAAUAAUCACAAAGCCCCCAAGAGUUCAGUUGACUUUGACUUUCCUCCCACUAAUUUACCUUCCUUCACUUUUAGGCCAAUGUAUGGUAUUUCCAGAAACUGCAUACUCUUAAGGUCUCUUUGAGAUUUCAUUCUCUUCUGUGGUUAUUGCAUUCUAGCCAAGUUUCUCUCUGGAUAAUGCUAAGCAAUCCCAAUUUCUUCAUCUUCAUUAGGGAUCUUUAGCACAACAUCUUUACAGUCAGGCCAUAGUGAUCACCAUAAGACAAGUUGUGUUGUUACUUUAACCAGCACAUUACUGCACCUGUCACAGUUGUGUCUUAUAAUAUGACAGGAUUUCAUCAUUAAUAAUAUUUAUAAACUGGCUUUGGAAAUUAAAGAUUUUAUAAGCACUUUUCUUAUAUUAUGUGCAUUACAAUACAUUCCAUUAUAGAUCAAAGGCAAGAUAUGAACAAAAGUUCAAAAUCAAACACAAUAACAAAAUUCUUCUCUCCUAAUCUAAUAAAGAAAAAAUCUCAGUAAAAGCUUUCUGAUUACAAGAUUUUUUGUUAUCUUAAAGACAAACAAAGAGCAAACUAUUCAUAGACAAAGUAUCCUCAUGAUCACAACCAUAUGUAAACUAAAUGUGAGAAACCCUCACCAUAAUUUUGAUUGUAAACUGAGUAUAUUGUUUUCAUCAUUACUCCAUAAUUCAUAACUUAUAAUUGGAACUGCAUUUUGUAUACAAGACAAAAUUAAGAAUUGGACAACACACUGUGAGGCAUCAACCAAAUUGAAUUCAUGAUUAAUUGGAAUGUAUGGUACUCAACAGCAACAAUUAUGGGAAUAAUCAGUCAAGGAAUGCCCCUAUUUACAAAUUACUGACCCUUCAUGAACUAUUUCAUUACUCACAUGAAGUAUAGCUGGUUGAAGUUGAUGAAACAGGAAGUGCCCUAGACAUACAUUCAUAUUUAUAUUUAUAUAUAUAUGUAUAGUAUAUACACAUGCAAGUACUAGGUCCUCAUAUAUAGAAAUUUUUGCAUGAAGCAUCAAAUUCCAAUUUUUCAUAUUCCUUGAAUGGUGAUCCAUUAACAUGUCCAGAUAUCCUCACCUAGCCUGGCAAUAAUAUCUACAUCACUGAAUUUUCACUAUACACUUAACAUCAGAGAUCAUUGAUGUAGAUUGACACCCCCUAAAACUUAAAAAAAAAAAAAUCUUAACAGCAAAGCUGUUUCAGUCGUUUGUUGAAGUUAAAAUUAAUCAAUUGUAUCACCUAUCAAUGAAUUCCUCACCUAAUCAUUCAAACCUGCAUAAUGAGAAAUACCUUUAGUCUUUAAUUUCCUCUACAUUCAUGACCUCCGAUAAUUGAGUAAUCUUACAUACAUUUAUACACCAAUAACUAGAUAUGAUUACAUAACAUGAACCAGGCUAAUGUGCCCUUUCUCACAUAGUUACAACAUUUACAGAAAAUCAUUCUUGCCAACAGAAAAUGAAUGCAUGAAAUUGUACCAAAUAAAAGUACAAUAAUUUUCUUUCUCCCAGAGAAACGUGUUAGUACUGGUGUAGGCAGUGAACUAUUCGUACAUACUUCAUAGGAAUUGUUCUUCCCUUUGGUGUCACAUCAGAACCUGUCACUGUGGAUUUAGGAAGGCAUACAAUUCAUGAUUGCACUACCAGCUAGGCAAUCUUAUCAGGAGCUUCAGAACAUCAUUUAUAGUACAAUACACAUGAUAUGUCUACUUCAAGAAUAGUAAAAAUAAUUCUCAGUAUAAUAAAAAA